AGCCUGAAAUGUCCACAGGACAGGCAGCUGAUAGGAAAGCCAAAAGUGAUGUAGGAAAAGCAAGGACAAAGGCAGAAUCUCUGAGAAUGAAUUGGAGCCAACACUGGUCUCUCACCACCUCCAGUCCUCUGGCUUUGAUAAGGUGGGGGUGGCCUGCUGGAGAAACUGAUGUUCUUCAUCUCAGAGAUUAUAAUAGCAAAGACCUGGAACCAACCCAAAUACCCAUCAAUGAUAGACUGGAAAAUGAAAAUGUGGCACAUAUACAACAUGGAAUACUAUGCAGCCAUAAAAAAUGUUGAAUGCUGGAUUAAUAGAAUAGUGAAUCUUCAAAGUCGACAACUGCAUACUUAAACAUCAGACUAUAAAGUCAGCAAAUUUAGUUUUAUUUCACAAUAAAAUAAAUACUUAGAUUGCUUGUUUAUGUAGA
rnacentral:lncRNA from 13 species